rnacentral:lncRNA from 1 species
GUUUGCAGUGGGCCGAGAUUGCGCCAUUGCACUCCAGCCUGGGCAACAGAGCCAGACUCCAUCAAAAAAAAAUCCAACACCCAACGAGGUAAAAUCACAAUGUCUGGUAUACAAUAAAAAAUUACCAAGUGUGUGAAGAGGCAGAAAAAUAGGACCUAUAAUGAGGAUAAAAAUCAAUCUAAAAUGACCCAGCACAUACCCAGAUGUUAGAAUUACUAAUGAAAAAUAUUAUGACUAUAUUCCGUAUUUUCAAAGAUUAGGAUGUGACAAGAAAAGGCUUUAAUUAAACUUCGAGAGAUGACAAUGUUAAUGUAUAAGAUUAAAAAAUACAAUGGAUGUAAUUAAUGGCAGAUGAGAGUUUUCAGAAGAAAAUAUUAAUAAACUUGAAUAUAUAUAGCAGUAGAAAGCAUCCAAAAUGAAACAGAGACAGAAAAAAAACAAAGAAUAAUCAGAGUAUCGGUGAUCUGUGGGACAACUUCAGUUGCCUAAUCUGUGUGUAUUUGGAGUUCUCAAAGGAGAAAAGAGAGUGGAUGGAUAGAAAAAAAUAUUUUUAAAAAUUAAUACAUAAGCAUUUUCCACAUUUGAUGCAAACUAUAAACCCACAGACCCAGCUCAACAUCCCCAAGUAGGGGUGCUAUUAAGAAAACCACAUCACAACACAUCAUAAGCAAAUGGAUCAAAACUCAGUGUGGUAAAGAGAAAAAGACAAGUCUUACACAGAGAAGAAAAACAAGGAUGAUACCAGACUUCUUUUUGGAAGCAAUGCAAGGGGAAGGGCAGUGGAGCAACAUCUUUCAUGCUUCCAGUGAAACAUCUUCCAACCAAAAGCAGAAAACUCUCUCUCCUAGGUUUCUAUACCCAGCAAAACCGUCUUUCAAGAAAGGAUGAAACAAAGAUAUUUUUCAGACAUAGAAAAGUUAAAAGUAAUAUAUUAUCAGCAAACCUGGACUAUGAGAACAGUGUAAAAGCCUUUCAGGAAGAAGGAAAAUAAAGAAUAAUAUCUUUGUGCAGAUAGAAACAUGGAUCCACACAAAGAAAUGAAGAGCACUGGCAAUAGUAACACCAUAAGUAAAUAUACAAUACCUGCCCUUAUUACUUAAAUAUCUUUUAAAGAUAAUUGGCUGUUUAGAAAUAAUAGCAGUGUCAUGUGAGUUCUGCAGCAUGAGUAAAAGUAAAAUAUAUGACAACAAUAACCUAGAGUAAAUGGAAAUAUAGUUUAGUUUGUAAGGUUCUUAGACUGUGUGUAAAGUCGUAUAAUGCCUAUUAAAAGUUGGCUAUUACAAGUUAUCUUUAAGUUAAAACAUCUGUAUGGUGUAAUCCCUAAAGCAAAUGCUAGAGUAACAAAAACAGUGAUAAUAUUACAAUAUUACACAAUAAUAUUACAAUGCAGCGAUGAAAUAGAAUAAAUUUUUAAAUGCUUGAAAGUAGACAAAAAAGAUGAGAAAGAGGACAAAGAACAAAUGGGACAAAUAGAAAGCAAAUAGCAAGAUAUAAAAUAAAAAUCUGAUAAAUUUGACCUUAAGAUUAACAACUCUCCUUUUAAAAUACAUUGUUAAGAGAAUAAGAGUCAAGCUACAGACUGGGAGAAAAUAUUUGCAACACUUUAUUUGAAUGCUGUAAAUUUUUUUCAGAAUAUAGUUCAUAAAGAACUCUUAACAACUCAAUAAUUAGCAAAAAUAAAAUGAAAAUAAUGAAUAUAAGAAAAAAUGACGAAAAGUGCUAGGCCAGUGGACAAAAAGCACACAAAAAUGUUCAAUAUCGUUUUGUCAUUAAGGAAAUGCAAAUUAAAACCACAGUGAGUUAUUCUUCCCACUAAAAUGGUUAUGAUUAAAAAUAUUGUCAGUACCACGUGUUGUUGAGAAUAUGGAGCAAUUAUAAUUCUCAUACAUUAUUGUUGGAAUGUAAAAUGCUACAACCACUUAGGAAAAAUUGUUUAACAUUGUUUUAUAUAAUUAAGCAUACAUGAAACCUAUGACCCAACAAUUCCAAUCCUAGAUUGAAAAGAAAUGAAAACUUAUGCCCAUUAUAAGACUUACACAAGAACGUUUAUAGCAUCUUUACUUAUAAUAUCCCCAAACUGUAAACUGCCUAAAAGACCUUCAACAAGAAAAUGGACAAACAAUUUGUGUUGUAUUAAUAAUGAAAUACUCUUCAGCUAUAAAAUGGACAAAACUACUGGUAACUGCAACAAACAUGGCUGAAUCUAAAAAACCUUGUGUUGAAUGAAUAAAUCUAGACACUAUAGGGUACAUUCUGAAGUCCUAGAACAAGCG